UUUUUUUUUUUUUUUUUUUUGAAGCUUCUGUUUUAUACAGUUGUACAGAAUUGGUGAUUUUGGUAGAAAAUACUGAUAGUAAAAUUCGUAAAAAUGGAGACUGGAGGCAAUUCUUUGCCGUCAGGUCCUGAUGGGGUGAAGAGAAAGGUUUGCUAUUUUUAUGACCCGGAGGUGGGCAAUUACUAUUAUGGGCAAGGUCACCCCAUGAAGCCGCAUCGCAUUCGAAUGACCCAUGCUCUUCUUGCCCACUAUGGUUUGCUCCAGCACAUGCAGGUCCUUAAGCCCUUUCCUGCCCGAGAUAGGGAUCUAUGCCGCUUCCAUGCCGAUGAUUAUGUAUAUUUCCUCCGCAGCAUUACCCCUGAAACCCAGCAGGACCAGCUCAGGCAGCUCAAGCGCUUUAAUGUAGGUGAAGAUUGCCCUGUCUUUGAUGGCCUCUACUCUUUUUGCCAAACUUAUGCUGGUGGCUCUGUUGGUGGUGCUGUCAAAUUAAACCAUGGUCUUUGUGACAUUGCUAUCAAUUGGGCCGGCGGCCUUCAUCAUGCUAAGAAGUGUGAAGCUUCUGGCUUUUGCUAUGUCAAUGACAUUGUCCUUGCAAUCUUGGAGCUUCUUAAACAGCAUGAGCGUGUUCUUUAUGUGGAUAUUGACAUUCACCAUGGUGAUGGUGUGGAGGAGGCAUUUUACACCACUGAUAGGGUCAUGACUGUUUCAUUUCACAAAUUUGGAGAUUAUUUUCCAGGUACAGGGGAUGUACGUGAUGUUGGAUAUGGGAAAGGGAAAUACUAUUCCCUUAAUGUUCCAUUGGAUGAUGGAAUAGACGAUGAGAGCUAUCAUUUCCUUUUUAAACCAAUAAUUGGAAAAGUAAUGGAAUUCUUUAAGCCUGGUGCUGUGGUUCUUCAGUGUGGCGCUGACUCGUUAUCUGGGGAUAGAUUAGGAUGCUUCAAUCUUUCAAUCAAGGGCCAUGCAGAGUGUGUGAAAUUCAUGAGAUCUUUCAAUGUCCCAUUAUUGCUAUUGGGUGGUGGUGGUUAUACCAUUCGGAAUGUUGCUCGCUGCUGGUGCUAUGAGACAGGAGUUGCACUUGGAAUGGAAGUUGAUAACAAGAUGCCACAGCAUGAGUAUUAUGAAUACUUUGGUCCUGACUAUACCCUCCAUGUUGCUCCUAGUAAUAUGGAGAAUAAGAAUUCGCGUCAAUUGCUGGAUGAUAUACGAUCCAAGCUUCUUGAUAAUCUCUUGAAGCUUCAACAUGCACCCAGUGUCCAAUUUCAGGAAAGACCACCCAAUACUGAGCUCCCAGAGGUGGAUGAAGAUCAGGAUGAUGGGGAUGAGAGAUGGGAUCCAAGUUCUGACAUGGAUGUUGAUGAUGAGCGGUAUUUUAUUUUGUUUCCUCACCCUACUCUCCUUGAAGAAAACUGAAAUAAAAUUUCCCCCCUUCUUUCAUAUUUGAUGUUAUCUAACUUGCAUUUUAUGCUGCAAGCCUUGACCAAGCAGAGCAAAGAGAGAAAUAAUUAAGACUGAAACAAAAGAUCUGGUAUGCUCUGUUCUGAGUGUCUUUUGCUAUAGAAACUUCAACUGAUCACCUCUUUUCUUCUUUUUUUUUUUUGGUCAAUAUUCUAAUUUUAGGAUGUAGGCAUAUGGAUAUUUUAGUUUCUAGAAAUGCUCUGGGUGAGUAAGAACAAUUUGGAUAAUAUACUCUCAAGAAUUGAGCUCUCUUUAAUAUAGCUAGAAGAGGGUGCACUGUCUUUGUCUUAUCGCUGUUUUCACUUUUACCAUGUCCAACUAUGAGAGUGUUUGGUUUUGCUACUUUUUAACUUUUUACUUAUUUUAAGUGUUUAAAAGUAAAUUUUUUAAAACGAUUAAAAAAAGAUAUGUAAUUGAGUGUUGUGAUUAGACCUGGCUAAGGGCUUUUUCCUAGUUGGAACUGCCAGUUUCUUGAUGCUUGGAGGCUUGAAAAGGAACCGGCCCGGAUUCAGACAGUUUGAACCGGUUCCUAUUCAAUUAUGCUUUCAGGCUGAUUCUAGUCUGGUUUUAAAGCAGUUUUGGUUCAAGUUUUAGAUGGUUACGGUUCCGUUGGGCCUCAGUUCAGUUCGGUUCUAGACGUUUCCAGGCCAGUUCGGUAUGAAUUUUAAGUCAACAUUCUUGAAAAAAUUUAAAUUUAAUAAAAUUACAAAUAAAAGAUCAACAUUCAUUUUUAAUUAAACAACGUCAUAUUCUGAUUUCUAAUGAUGAUUAAACCGACUAUCCAUUAAUUCGUCCAAAUCAUGAUCCAUAAAAUAAUUUCAUUUCCAAGAAAUUUAACAAAUCCUUCUUUAUAUCUCAAUUCACAUGAAUUAUAUUCCAAUAAAAUCCUAACACUAUCCAGUUUAAACCAACAAAAAAAUUCUCUUAUUUAGUUCUAAUAUUCUUCCAUCUUAAUUCCCAAUUUCAUUUAUUUAAAACACAAAUAAUUUCUUAUAAAUAAUUUAAGAAAUCUAUGGAAGUUUCAAUUUUCA
rnacentral:misc_RNA from 1 species